rnacentral:rRNA from 1 species
UGCAUAUCAAUUAAGCGGAGGAAAAGAAACUAACAAGGAUUCCCCUAGUAACUGCGAGUGAAGCGGGAAAAGCUCAAAUUUAAAAUCUGGUGGUCUUUGGCCAUCCGAGUUGUAAUCUAGAGAAGUGUUACCCGCGUCGGACCGUGUACAAGUCUCCUGGAAUGGAGCGUCAUAGAGGGUGAGAAUCCCGUCUUUGACACGGACUACCGAGGCUUUGUGGUGCGCUCUCAAAGAGUCGAGUUGUUUGGGAAUGCAGCUCAAAAUGGGUGGUAAAUUCCAUCUAAAGCUAAAUAUUGGCGAGAGACCGAUAGCGAACAAGUACCGUGAGGGAAAGAUGAAAAGAACUUUGGAAAGAGAGUUAAACAGUACGUGAAAUUGCUGAAAGGGAAACGCUUGAAGUCAGUCGCGUUGGCCGGAAAUCAGCCUUGCUUUUGCUGGGUGUACUUUCUGGUUGACGGGCCAGCAUCAGUUUUGACCGGUGGAAAAAGUCCAGAGGAAUGUGGCAUCUUCGGAUGUGUUAUAGCCUUUGGUCGUAUACAUCGGUUGGGACUGAGGAACUCAGCACGCCGAAAGGCCGGGUCUUGACC